GAAGAGAUCUGCACUCAUUGCCCUUUCAGCAAAGAACAAGCUGGGUUUUAUUACAGGGGAUCAGCCUGCACCAACUGUUGGUUCUUCAGAUCUGCAGCUAUGGAGCAGAUGUAAUGACAUGGUUACUUCAUGGUUGCUCAACUCUCUCUCCAGGGAAAUUGCUGAUAGUGUGAUUUACUCCAGAUCUGCUAGAGAACUUUGGCUCAGCUUGGAGCAUCGAUUUGGUCAGUCAAAUGGUGCUAAACUCUUUCACCUGCAAAAGGAAUUAAGUAGGUUAGUUCAGGGAAACAAUAACAUAGCAGGAUAUUUCACUAAUCUUAAAAGACUCUGGGAUGAACUAGACUCUUUAAAUUCAAACAUCAAAUGUUCAUGUGUGUGUGUCUGUCAAGGAAAACAUAAAAUGGAGAAAUCUAUGGAGGAUGAAAAGCUUAUUCACUUCCUUAUGGGGCUCAAUGACACUUAUGCUCAGGCUAGAGGAAACAUCUUAAUGAUGAAUCCACUUCCUAACAUCAACAUUGCAUACUCCUUGAUCUUGCAAGAUGAAAAUCAGAGGAAGACUUACAUGAGUCCUUUUAUGCCCUCUGAUUCAUAUAGUAACAUGAAUCAGCAUAGAGGAAGGCAGCCUCAAUAAUUCACUGGUAACACAUUCAGAUCUGGAAAUACAUAUCCUAGAAAUGACAACUCACAAGGCUCACAGAAACCUCAAAAACAGUUUCAGAAAUUCAAAGGAAAAAAGGGAAAAUAUGAUCCUAAUGCAAACUGCACCCACUGUGGUAAGAAUGGACACUUGAAGUUGAACUGUUAUAGAUUGAUUGGGUUUCCAGAAGUCUUUCAGUUUACAAAUGAGAAGGGAAGUCAUGGUCAAAUAAGAGGAAAUGCAGUGGUCAACAUGGAGGAGGCAGAAGUUGGAUCCACUGCUCAUGCUAUCAAUCAACAUUUCACUUAGGAACAAAUCAAUUUUCUGUUUCAAAAUGGGAAAGAGCUACUUCAAGCUUUCACGCAGAUGAAGGUGGAAGAUAAGACCAACUUCUCAAAUGCUUCUGAGAUCAAUGCAAAUGUUGUAGCUGGUACACUAAUGAAGUAUUUUGGUUCCUGUUUCUCUGUUUUCAAUUCAAAUACAUGGAUUGUAGACUCGGGUGCUUCAGAACAUACGUGUUUUAAUCCUGAUUCUUUCUUAUCUAUGUCCCCCCUUACAGUUCCUCUAAACAUCAAUCUUCCUAAUUCAGAAUCUAUCAAUGUUACGCAUACUGGUGUUGUAUGUUUGUUUUCUGACCUAAUUCUGACUAAUGUCCUCUAUGUUCCUAGUUUCAAAUAUAACUUACUAUCAGUUCAUAAGUUAUGUUGUCAAUUCAACUUUUCAAUCUCUUUCACUUCUAAUGAAUGUCUACUGCAGGGCCUUUCCAUGAAGAAUCCUAAAGUUUUUGGUAAGGCUAAGGAGGGUCUCUACUUGCUUCAGCCAAAUCCUAAGACGUCUAUUCUUCAGUCAACUGAUUCCCAAUCUGUUUCUUUUCCUUUUUCUGUUUGUUCUAGUGCACUUUCUGAUGUAAAGUUGUGGCACAUUAGACUUGGGCAUCUGCCUUUAACAUCAAUGAAAAAUGUCAGUUUCAUUUCUGUUCCUUCUAGUCUUGAUUGUUAUUGUGAUAUUUGUCCACAAGCUAGGCAAUCUAGGCUUCCCUUUCCUAUCAGUCAUAAUAAAUCUAAAUCCAAGUUUGAGUUAAUUCAUGUUGACACCUGGGGGCCCUAUAAGGUACCAACUUAUAAUCAUCAUAAAUAUUUUCUUACUAUAGUUGAUGACUAUAGCAGGGCUACUUGGACAUAUCUAUUGGCUAGUAAGAGUAACUCGUUUCAUGCUUUACAGUCUUUUAUACAAAUGGUGCACAGACAGUUUGAUGCAAAGGUAAAGAUAGUGAGAUCAGAUAAUGCUCUUGAGCUAGGGAAAAGUGAGGCAGGUCUCUGUUUCUUCAACUCCCUUGGCAUAAUUCAUCAGACCUCUUGUGUUGCUUCCCCUCAACAAAAUGGUAUUGUUGAAAGGAAGCACAGACAUCUACUUGAGACUGCCAGGGCACUUAUGUUUCAAUCAAAAGUUCCUAUGAUUUAUUGGGGAGAGUGUAUCUUAACAGCUACUUUUCUUAUUAAUAGGUUCCCAUCCAAAGUUAUUGAUGGCAAGACGCCUUUUGAAUUGAUUUUUGGGAAAACCCCUUCUUAUCAUUUCUUAAGAUGUUUUGGUUGCUUAUGUUAUGCUAAUACUUUGAGUCAGGGGAGAGGUAAGUUUGACUCAAGGGCCAGAAGUUGUGCACUUCUGGGCUAUCCUAUAAAUCAGAAAGGUUACAAGUUAUUGGACUUGCAUACUAAAAAGAUUUUCAUCUCUAGAGAUGUGCAUUUUGUUGAGCAUAUCUUUCCUUUUGCUACUGCACAGUACGUUCCUCCUAUUUUUUCAGAACAUCCUAUUGAUUCUGAUUUUUUUUUCUUCUCCAUCUACUCCUCAGACUUCUCCCUCUCCUACUUUUCCUUCUUUGGAUCCAAUUUUGGUAUCCUCUCCUCCUUCUAACCUAUCUGAACCUGUUGUGGCUUCUCCCACCCCUGUUCCUCCUCUCAGAAGGUCCUCUAGGUCUACAUUAGGGAAAGCUCCUUCUCAUCUGCAUGAUUACAUCUGCAAUCUUAUAACUCUUACUGAUGUCACACACUCCUGUUUCUCCUCUACUCACACCCCUUCCACUAUUUUUGUUCAUACUCUUUCUCAACCUAAUCAAACCACCAUUCACAACACCUCUCAUAUCUUAGAACCUACCAGUUAUGCACAAGCUUGUUCUCAUCCAGGUUGGCUACAAGCCAUGGCUGCUGAACUUGAAGCUUUGCAAUCCGACUACACUUGGGAUGUGGUUCCUUUGCCUUAUGGUCGAAAAGCUUUACCUUGUAAGUGGGUCUACAAGGUUAAGCAACAUGUUGAUGGUACUUUGGAAAGACUGAAGGCCCGAUUGGUUGUGAAAGGUGACAUACAACAACAGGGGAUUGAUUUCACUGAAACCUUUUCCCCUGUUGUUAAGAUGACCACUAUUAGAUGUUUGUUGGCUAUUGCAGCCAAGAAAUCUUGGGACAUUUUUCAAUUUGAUGUCAAUAAUGCAUUUCUUAAAGGUGAUUUACAAGAGGAGGUUUAUAUGAAAUUUCCUAUAGGUUUGGUUCCUCCUCAACCUAAUAUGGUUUGCAAACUCCGCAAAUCUCUCUAUGGUCUUAAACAGGCUUCUCGGCAGUGGUAUGCCAAACUUGCCGGAGCUCUCACUUUUAAGGGUUUCACUGCCUCCCUCAAUGACUAUUCUUUAUUCUUCAAGAGGACAGGUUCUCUUACUACUAUUAUUGCCGUCUAUGUGGACGACAUCCUUAUUACGGGUGAUGAUCACCAAGAAAUCUCUGCUCUUAAGUUAUUUCUUCACUCAGAAUUUAAGAUCAAGGACCUUGGUCUUUUACACUAUUUUUUAGGCCUGGAACCACAUGGUAUUAUCAUCAGUCAAAGGAAAUAUACCUUGGAGCUUCUACAGGAGUUUGAUGUAGCUCAUCUUCCAUAUGUUUCUUCUCCUUUAGAUCCAUCUGUCAAAUUACUUGCAGAUUCAGGGGAUUUCAUGACAGAUCCUACACUAUACAGACAUCUCAUCGGCAAACUUAACUAUUUGACUCAUACCCGUCCCGAUUUGUCUCAUUCCGUUUUGAUUCUCAGUCAGUUUAUGCAAAAGUCGUGCCUGUCACAUUAUGAUGCUGCUUUGAGAGUGGUGAGUUACCUGCAGCAUUGCCCUAUUCAAGGUUUGUUCAUGUCUCCUUCAUCUUCAUUUUCCCUUCAAGCUUUUUGUGAUGCCGACUGGGCGUCCUGUAGAGAUACAAGGAGGUCGAUCAAUGGGUUUUUUAUCAGUUUGGGCGGUUCACCCAUUUCUUGGAAAUCUAAGAAACAGGCCUCUGUUUCCCUCUCUUCCGCUGAGGCGGAGUAUCGAUCUAUGCGGCGCCUUGUUGCCAAGUUGACCUGGUUGGUGCGCUUACUCUCCGAUCUGUCCGUUCCUCCUGACCUUCCAGUCCCAGUUCACUCCGACAGUCAGGCUGCUAUCCAUAUCGCUCGAAAUCCGGUCUUUCAUGAACGGACCAAACAUGUUGAUCUCGAUUGCCAUUUUGUUCGCCAACAGUACUUAUCUGGGCUCAUCUCACUCUCCUUUGUUCCGUCAAAAGCACAACUGGCUGACCUUUCUCACCAAAUCUCUCUCUGGUCCUCUCCAUCGCUCUCUUCUUCCCAAGAUGGGUCUCACUCAGCUCCUCUCCAUCUUGCUGGGGGAUGUUGGAAUUAUUGAUGAUAAACAAGGAAAGGAGACAUCAAAGGGAGAAAAGACAAACAAGCAGACAAGAGCUUCAUGUUUGGCUUUG
rnacentral:lncRNA from 1 species